GGCAGGUGCAAAAAAUAAACCCUCUUUUGUAACCCAGAACUCAUUUUUCAGUAUGAGUUUUGAUACAUAUAAGAAGGAAAGCU
rnacentral:snoRNA from 1 species